UAGGGAAUCUUCGGCAAUGGACGAAAGUCUGACCGAGCAACGCCGCGUGAGUGAAGAAGGUUUUCGGAUCGUAAAACUCUGUUGUUAGAGAAGAACAAGGACGUUAGUAACUGAACGUCCCCUGACGGUAUCUAACCAGAAAGCCACGGCUAACUACGUGCCAGCAGCCGCGGUAAUACGUAGGUGGCAAGCGUUGUCCGGAUUUAUUGGGCGUAAAGCGAGCGCAGGCGGUUUCUUAAGUCUGAUGUGAAAGCCCCCGGCUCAACCGGGGAGGGUCAUUGGGAACUGGGAGGCUGGAGUGCAGAAGAGGAGAGUGGAAUUCCAUGUGUAGCGGUGAAAUGCGUAGAUAUAUGGAGGAACACCAGUGGCGAAGGCGGCUCUCUGGUCUGUAACUGACGCUGAGGCUCGAAAGCGUGGGGAGCAAACAGG
rnacentral:rRNA from 1 species